rnacentral:rRNA from 1 species
CCUACGGGUGGCAGCAGUCGAGAAUCAUUCACAAUGGGGGAAACCCUGAUGGUGCGACGCCGCGUGGGGGAAUGAAGGUCUUCGGAUUGUAAACCCCUGUCAUGUGGGAGAAAAUUAAAAAGAUAGUACCACAAGAGGAAGAGACGGCUAACUCUGUGCCAGCAGCCGCGGUAAUACAGAGGUCUCAAGCGUUGUUCGGAAUCACUGGGCGUAAAGCGUGCGUAGGCUGUUUCGUAAGUCGUGUGUGAAAGGCGCGGGCUCAACCCGCGGACGGCACAUGAUACUGCGAGACUAGAGUAAGGGAGGGGGAACCGGAAUUCUCGGUGUAGCAGUGAAAUGCGUAGAUAUCGAGAGGAACACUCGUGGCGAAGGCGGGUUCCUGGACAUUAACUGACGCUGAGGCACGAAGGCCAGGGGAGCGAAAGGGAUUAGAUACCCUGGUAGUC